rnacentral:rRNA from 1 species
CAGCCGUAAACUAUGCGCGUUAGGUGUAUCGGUGACCACGAGUCACCGAGGUGCCGAAGGGAAACCGUGAAACGUGCCGCCUGGGAAGUACGGUCGCAAGGCUGAAACUUAAAGGAAUUGGCGGGGAGCACCACAACGGGUGGAGCCUGCGGUUUAAUUGGACUCAACACCGGGAAGCUCACCGGAUAAGACAGCGGAAUGAUUGCCGGGCUGAAGACUCUGCAUGACUAGCUGAGAGGAGGUGCAUGGCGUAGACGUCU